UACGUAGGGGGGCUAGCGUUGUCCGGAUUUAUUGGGCGUAAAGAGCGUGUAGGCGCCAGGUAGGUCUGCUGUGAAAACUCGAGGCUCAACCUCGAGACGUCGGCGGAAACCAUCUGGCUAGAGUCCGGAAGAGGAGAGUGGAAUUCCUGGUGUAGCGGUGAAAUGCGCAGAUAUCAGGAAGAACACCCCGUGGCGAAGGCGGCUCUCUGGGACGGUACUGACGCUGAGACGCGAAAGCGUGGGGAGCGAACAGG
rnacentral:rRNA from 1 species